rnacentral:lncRNA from 1 species
GCUCAGGAGACCCGCGGCGCCGCUGCCCUUGAGCGGGCCUGCGCCUCCGUGAGGGAAGAGUUGCUGCCAGUGCUGCAGUUUUCUGAACCUGGGAAACGUGCUGUUCAGACUUCAUCCGGGUCUCAUUCAGGAUGCUUCGAUGUUGGUUGGAAGAGAGUUAGACCGAAAAUGUUUUGACUGGCGUCGUUAUGACAAGGUCAUCCGUCAUUGUUGGAUAGAUUGAUAGCACCCAAGUUUAAGGCAGACACCACGAGGGAAAGCCCACGGCGCUGUGGUCCCGGAGGCUAACCAGGCAGUGUCCGCAGACCUCCAGCAACUCCAUCGGGAGGAGAGGAUGAAGUUCCAGGCCCGUUUCAAUUAAUCUGCUCGCAGAACUGCCGAAGAGUGGCUUGUCGGGCCACGGGAGAAGAAACAAAUGCUCUUUCUCACACUCUCCUGGUUCAUUGCUGAGAAACCAGGACACUCCUCUGUUCCCUGGGAGAGACAGUGAACUCCAGGGAUGGAAGUCCGGACUCCGGCGGCGGUCCCGUCAUUUGCCUUCUUGUUUCUGCCCAAACCCAGCUAGUUCCAAGCGCUUGGUCCCCAAGACUGGAAGUCCCCAAGAACCUACCUCUACCUGUCCCAACCCUGCCUCCCCCCUACCCUUUCACCCCCUGCCACCAUUAGAAAGUCUCUGGAUUUUGAAAUGCUAGUUGCAGCAGCUGCUUCCGUGGCCUCAUGCCGCCCACACUCUGGGAAGCGGAGGAGGGAGGGUUCCUCUCGUAAUAAGAUUAGCUGACCUGUUAAUGAGAGUUUUGGACGUGCCGGGCGGGGGUAGGCGCUUUAUGUCCAUUUAAUCCACCUACAUGCGGAGAAGGCAUUAUCAUUAACCCCCAUAUUGUAGAUGGGGACCGCUGAGGUUCGGAAAGUUUAGAUGGGUUGCCUAAGGUCACGCCAUUAAUGAGUAAUGGAGACGGAUUCAAAUACCGUUCGGUAAGGUGCCAAGUGCAUCUUCUGCCUACCCUAGUCCAACCUGUAGCCACUCGGUCCAGACUGACGCCAGAGGGGCUAUCAUGGGAGAGAUUUGGUUCCCCUCGCUGCGGGGUCCAGGGAAGAAGCUGAGAAGGUAGCAAAGUCCCCCUCGCCCACUACGUCUACAGGUGGCGUACCUGGGUAAUCCGAUUCAAGCUUCCGCCACACCCACCCCGGGCACAAGUCGAUCCCGAGGCUUACGGGACCCUAAGGCCCAGAGGCUACAGGAACCUCCCGUGAAGGGGGCAGGAGAAAGUUUGAGGGAGAGCCCUGAAGGUCCGGGAGCGAACGAAAAAGUCUGGAAGGGAAUAGACCAGGAGUCAGGACCUCCCCUGCACCUCCCCAGCAGGCCCACUGCGCCGAGCGGGGCCCCUGCCUCCACCGCGGCUUCCGGGAUGCCCGCAGAGCUCGGCAUCCUCACCCGGUGCGCACAAGGGCGCGCAGCGGCGUAAGCUGGACCCCCGACGCUGCGCGCGCUCUGAGGGGCGCUUCCCCCUCACACAGUUGACCCUGGGCCCGCUUGGUCACGGCCACCCUGGCGCAUCUCAAUAGUUUUUAGAAAGUGAGCCCACCGACGGCAAGGACAUGCACCCCCUCAAAUCCGCUUCCCCCACCCCCUUCAAUACUGAGAAGACCACGGAAACAAAUCACUUCGACCACUUAGAAAGCGAUCAAACCUUUAUAAAAAUCCAUCGCUCCCAAAUCGAUGGGUGAAUAUUUGCUGGGAAUUUGUUCCAGAGGAAUAAAUGAGGAGCCUUGAGUGUAUUAAAUGCAAA